AGGACGAACGCUGGCGGCGUGCUUAACACAUGCAAGUCGAGCGGAAAGGCCCUUCGGGGUACUCGAGCGGCGAACGGGUGAGUAACACGUGAGCAACCUGCCCUUAGCUUCGGGAUAGCUCCGGGAAACCGGAAUUAAUACCGAAUAUGAUUUUUGCUGACAUCAGCAGAAGUUGGAAAGUUUUUCGGCUAGGGAUGGACUCGCGGCCUAUCAGCUAGUUGGUGAGGUAACGGCCCACAAGGCGACGACGGGUA
rnacentral:rRNA from 1 species